GAAUGUUGGUUGGGGACUCGGAGGUUGUGCCUGGGGCGUGGGGAGUGGGCCGGGAUCUGUGACCAGCGACACCAGAGGUGGGAGCGCCAGGCCCGUAGGCUAAGGCCCGAGAAAUCAUUUGUGAUGCCCUCGCCCUUCCUUUCCCACGGCCCCCGAGGCCAGCUGGUAAAGAUGACACAUGGCGAGGGAGCUGCCAGAACAUUCCCACUGGGCAUUUUGUGAGGGAGAAACAUGGCAGUCAGCCAGCAAGAACCUGGGACUUACUGGUUCCUGUGGCACCUAUUGUAUUCUGAUAUGGAAAUUGGUAUCUGAGUGAGUUUCUGCUGUAACCAAAACAAAACCAGCCAAUGUGUAUUGGCCGGGCGGGCAGGAAGAACGUGGACGGAACCCUGGACAGCAGGACAGGCUGGAGGAGACCACCGUGCUCCCCUGGGCAGGCUCUGCCUGCUGAGCCGUCCGCCCGGGCAGGGCAGCUGCAGGAGGCAGGUGCGGGGGCCACUUGAAAGCUACCACAGCAAAGGGAUGUGCUCAGCAAAAUGGCCAGUUUGCAAGCAAAAGUGACAAGAAAUUAAGAGAAUCCAAAACUGUUAUCAAAAGAUUGGAAAAGGAAACUUCUAGAACUCACACAGGAAGGGCUAAGACGGAAGCAUGCUCUGACUAUAAAGGCCUAGUGAGGCUUCUGACCGGUAGGUCACUCGGCCCUGGGCAAGUCCCAGGCUGGGCAGGGCGUGGGCGCCUGGCUCCAAUGGCCCCGCACCGACACGGGGGGCAGCAGCAGGAAGAAAGCAGGCUGUCCAGGGAAGACUGUUGUGAGUGCUCGUUACCGGCUGCUGUUAACAAACUACCCCAAACUCUGCUGCUUACCCAGCAUUCAUUCUCUCAUGGCCCUACAGGUGACUGACUGACGGGGCCCAAGGACAGCUCCCGUGGGAGGGGAUGCGAUCGGUGUGUGGGAAACAGCGAAAUAAGUACUUGGUGACACCAGAGGGCCAUGUGACUGGCCACACGCUAACCAAACCCACUUCCGAUCCCCCUGGGCACAAGGAUCCUGCAUUUCCUCCUUCCUGGCACCGAAGCGAGACCAGUUCUGGUGUGGGGACGAGGAAGUCGUGUCCCCCACCCGCCGCUCUGGUGUGUGGGAGGGGCAGUGGCACAGAUGGAAGCUGCUGGAGUCCCCAGACACCCCUUGGAGAGCUGCCCACCAGGAGCCCCCGGGCCCCCCCACCUGCCUGAGUGGACCCCCAGCUGCCGCCGGCCCUGCAAACCCGCCCCAGGGCCCUGUCAAGUCCUGCUCCCUGAGGGUCCACGGCCAGGGUUUCAGCACGGAAAGGUGGGUGGCGGGCAGCCCCGAGCAGAGGCUGGGGCCCAGGCCCUCACAAGAGAAGCGCAGGCCUGCCCCGUGCCCCCCCCCUCCUGCCCCUGUGCUCCCCCUGCUGUGCUCCCUCCUAGGACGGGUUCUGGAAGGGGACAGGGCCCUGCACCAGCCACCAAGCCGGCGGCCAUGAGUCACCCUGAGGAUGUGCGGCUGGCUGGCGGCCUCUGAAGGGGCAGCUCUCUGGUGGCAAUGAAGCAAGCCCUUAGGUCCCCAGUGGGGUGCGCCCCCAAGACCCAGCGAGGAGGAAAGACGAGGCCAGCACCUCCACCUCCGUGCCUGCAGACCACAGCAGUGUCCUGAAGGCCGCCUCCAGUCCCUCUCCGGCCAUCGGGACAGUGGCCUUGUCAACCGCAGGCCAAACUGGGCUCCAGGCAGGGCCUGGCUCCACAGCCUGCCCACCCGCCCUGCGCCACGGGAUGGAUAAAGAACAGGGGAGGGCGAAGUACACAGCCAGAGACCGCAUCAUGGUACAAAUGAUAAAUUAUAUUUAUACAGGAAGUAUCAAUAGUGACACAAGUUCAAAACCAGCUACCGGCCCCUGGGGCUGAGGAAACGGGGUGACCCCACCCGGAGCCUCAGGAGGGAGCAAGGGCCUGUGUGCAGCUCGCGUGCAGCGGCUGGCAGUGGCAUGAUCAGUGCAGGCGUCCGGGCGGCCUGGGCCGUACUGCAGGGGCAUCAACGUGCUGGGGGCACUGGGAGGCGGCCAGGCCGCACCUGGGGGAGCACCUGCCCCAGUCCACCGCCUCCCCCUCCCAGGCCCGGCCUGAAGUCCAGGAGCCUCUGGGAGCAGCCCUGUGAGUGGGAAGCAGGAAACGCGAGGGGCCCAGAGGCAGUCAGCGCGGCCUGCGUGCCUCCUACAGCCAGGCAGGGCCCAGGCCCCGCCUCAGAGGGCCCGCCGGUGGCCUGCUGCCCUGGGGCCAGGGCUAGGGCACCCACGGUGGAAUGUGAGGAGAACGCCCCUUCCCUAGGAAAGGCUGAUCUUUUCUGGGCCUUAGUUUAUGACCUAAUACUUUUUAUAGUGGUGGCUGGGCGAGGGGCAGGAGGUAAUACACGGGCGUGUUUAUUAAAUAUCUAUCCUGGGUGAGGAUCACUGUUUUCUUCUCCAAAAUAAGAGAUGAUGGGUUUUAAGUCUGUGCUGUGUGUCUGGAGUUAGCAGAGUCAGGGCCAGCCCUGGUCCCUCGCCCGCCCGACUCAGCCACAAGCUCCAGGGAGCCACUGCCCCCAGCCAACGGCCAUCUCCCCCUCCCCCCUCCCCUGUCUUCACCUGAGCGAGUAUCAGACAGGAGAUCACAGACAAGUGGUCCCAGAUGUCUCUUCCAUCUCACAUUCCCAUCGGGAGCGGAAGCCCCGCCAACAUGCA